AGACUAGUGACGCAGUGGUUAGCGUGUUACUCUUAUAGCUAUUUUAACCAAUAGUUAUGACAUCACGAGAUGUAAAAGUCGAGGGUUCGACCCCCUCCUAGUCUA